rnacentral:rRNA from 1 species
ACGGCUCAGUAACACGUAGUCAACCUAACCUAUGGACGGGAAUAACCUCGGGAAACUGAGAAUAAUGCCCGAUAGAACACUAUACCUGGAAUGGUUUGUGUUCCAAAUGAUUUAUCGCCAUAGGAUGGGACUGCGGCCUAUCAGUUUGUUGGUGAGGUAAUGGCCCACCAAGACUAUUACAGGUACGGGCUCUGAGAGGAGUAGCCCGGAGAUGGGUACUGAGACACGGACCCAGGCCCUAUGGGGCGCAGCAGGCGAGAGAACUUUGCAAUGUGCGAAAGCACGACAAGGUUAAUCCGAGUGAUUUGUGCUAAACGAAUCUUUUGUUAGUCCUAGAAACACUAACGAAUAAGGGGUGGGCAAGUUCUGGUGUCAGCCGCCGCGGUAAAACCAGCACCUCAAGUGGUCAGGAUGAUUAUUGGGCCUAAAGCAUCCGUAGCCGGCUCUGUAAGUUUUCGGUUAAAUCUGUACGCUUAACGUACAGGCUGCCGGGAAUACUGCAGAGCUAGGGAGUGGGAGAGGUAGACGGUACUCGGUAGGAAGUGGUAAAAUGCUUUGAUCUAUCGAUGACCACCUGUGGCGAAGGCGGUCUACCAGGACACGUCCGACGGUGAGGGAUGAAAGCUGGGGGAGCAAACCGGAUUAGAUACCCGGGUAGUCCCAGCUGUAAACUAUGCAAACUCAGUGAUGCAUUGGCUUGUGGCCAAUGCAGUGCUGCAGGGAAGCCGUUAAGUUUGCCGCCUGGGAAGUACGUACGCAAGUAUGAAACUUAAAGGAAUUGGCGGGGGAGCAC